GUCUACGGCCAUACCACCCUGAACAAGCCCAAUCCCGUCUGAUCUCGGAAGCUAAGCAGGGUCGGGCCUGGUCAGUACUUGGGUGGGAGACCACCUAGGAAGACCAGGUGCUGUAGACG
rnacentral:rRNA from 1 species